GUUUCGUCCGCGUGAGGGAUAGCAGCGGAAAUCCUUUAGUUUUUUUCUUUAAAAAAUAAAAGAUUAUAGCGUCCCGAUAGCUA
rnacentral:sRNA from 1 species